AAGGGCAUAGCUCAGUGGUAGAGCGCAUGCUUAUCAUGUAUGAGGUCCUGGGUUCAUUCCCCAGUACUCCCA
rnacentral:tRNA from 1 species